AUUGAACGCUGGCGGCAUGCCUUACACAUGCAAGUCGAACGGCAGCACGGGUGCUUGCACCUGGUGGCGAGUGGCGAACGGGUGAGUAAUACAUCGGAACGUACCUUAUCGUGGGGGAUAACGCAGCGAAAGUUGCGCUAAUACCGCAUACGCCCUGAGGGGGAAAGCGGGGGACCGUAAGGCCUCGCGCGAUUAGAGCGGCCGAUGUCUGAUUAGCGUGUUUGUGAUGUCAAAGCUCACCAAGGAGAUGAUCAGUAGCUGGUCUGAGAGGACGAGCAGCCACACUCGGACUGAGACACGGCGCGGAGUCCUACGGGGGGCAGCAGUGGGGAAUUUUGGACAAUGGGGGCAACCCUGAUCCAGCAAUUCCGCGUGAGUGAAGAAGGCGUUCGGGUUGUAAAGCUCUUUUGUCAGGGAAGAAACACCGGCUCUAACACAGUCCGGGAAUGACGGUACCUGAAGAAUAAGCACCGGCUAACUACGUGCCAGCCGCCGCCGUAA
rnacentral:rRNA from 1 species